UGAACGCUGGCGGCGUGCUUAACACAUGCAAGUCGAACGGUAACAGGAGAAGCUUGCUUCUUGCUGACGAGUGGCGCACGGGUGAGUAAUGCAUAGGUAACGUGCCCCUUAGUCUGGGAUAGCCACUGGAAACGGUGAAUAAUACCGGAUACUCCUUCUCACUUAAUGUGAGUCGGGAAAGUUUUUCGCUAAGGGAUCGGCCUAUGUCCUAUCAGGUAGUUGGUGAGGUAAAAGCUCACCAAGCCUAUGACGGGUAGCGGGUCUGAGAGGAUGAUCCGCCACACUGGUACUGAGACACGGACCAGACUCCUACGGGAGGCAGCAGUGGGGAAUAUUGCACAAUGGACGAAAGUCUGAUGCAGCAACGCCGCGUGGAGGAUGACACAUUUCGGUGCGUAAACUCCUUUUAUAUGAGAAGAUAAUGACGGUAUCAUAUGAAUAAGCACCGGCUAACUCC
rnacentral:rRNA from 1 species